CUUCUUCACUCAAAAUUCAGUUCAUUAUCCUAGCUCUCUUCUCUCCAAAAUUCAGAAAAAGCCUCUUGCAGUGAAGAGCUUUAGGACUUCUCCAAGGCUGUUCGUGUUCUUGAAGGCCUAGCUGUGUGUUCUCUUGACGUUCUCCAAGCUUCCUUGAUGAUCAAAAAGUGGUUAAAUUGUAAGGCUAUUUUAGCCGUACCACGCACCGCCUGAGUGGUCAAAACCAAAGCAUUAGAAAAUUGGUGCAUUUGCAGCUGAAAAGGGGUUAGGAACCGACGAUGGGAAGAUAAGGUUGGCCCAAUGAGCAGAAGGGCUAGCCACCAAAGCCGUCAUAAGGUGCUUCCCGACAUUUGAAACCUUAAGAUUAAGGUUAGGGUUAGGUCUAGGAGUAGCAACCGGAUAACACCACCAUACUCCUUCAGAAAAGAUGGGCCUAAACACCCAGCCUUCUGGUGUUCAAGAAGUCCACACACUCUACAAAAACGAACAAACUUGUUGUGCUUGACCUAACAGUAGCAGAAACACUUGGUGAGAACAACUCAAAUGGAAGACACACUUGCUUCACCGUCGUCAAAAUAUCAUGUUACGGUCACCUAUAACCCUCUUCGAAACCGCACCUGUAACCCUCUUCAGAUCCAUGCUUGAUCGUUAAUGGAUUGACAGAUCAAAUGAUUAAAUCCACACCUUUCUAUUAACAACAAUUCUAGAUCAAAAUCCGGUU
rnacentral:lncRNA from 1 species